UACGUAGGGGGCGAGCGUUGUCCGGAAUUAUUGGGCGUAAAGAGCGUGUAGGCGGUUCGGUAAGUCUGCCGUGAAAACCUGGGGCUCAACCCCGGGCGUGCGGUGGAUACUGCCGGGCUAGAGGGUGGUAGAGGCGAGUGGAAUUCCCGGUGUAGCGGUGAAAUGCGCAGAUAUCGGGAGGAACACCGGUGGCGAAGGCGGCCCCCUGGUUGGAUACUGACGCUGAGACGCGAAAGCGUGGGGAGCAAACAGG
rnacentral:rRNA from 1 species